GGGUCCAUAGCUCAGUUGUAGAGCAAUUGAUUGCAGAUCAAUAGGUCACUGGUUCGAACCCAGUUGGGCCCU
rnacentral:tRNA from 2 species